UAAAAAUUUAAUUUUAAUUUAAAGGUUUAUUAUUAAUUUAAUUUAUAUGUAAAUUUUUGUGUGAUCUUUUAUUUAUUUAAAUAAUAAUUAAAUUAUUUUAUUCGCAGUAAUUAAUAUUAUUAAUUUAAGAAAUUUAGAAAUAGUAAUAUUGAAUAGUAUUGAUUAAAUUUGUGCCAGCAAUCGCGGUUAUACUAAUAAUGCAAAUAAUUUUUUAUUGGUUAAAGUUAAAUUAUUUAUUAUAAAAUAAGUAUUAAUUUAUUAAGUGAAAUUAUAAAUUAUUAUAUUUUUUUAUUUAAUAAUUGAAGCUUGAAAAUUUUAAUUUAUAAACUAGGAUUAGAUACCCUAUUAUUUAAAAUGUAAAUUUAAAAAUUUAAGGUAGUAAUAGUUAUGUUCUUUAAACUUAAAAAAUUUGGCGGUAUUUUAGUCUAUUCAGAGGAACUUGUUUUAUAAUUGAUAAUCCACAAUGGACCUUACUUAAAUUUGUAAUCAAUUUAUAUACCGUCGUUAUUAGGAUAUUUUAUAAAAAUGAUAAUUUCCAAAAUUUUUUUAAAAAAUAUAUCAGAUCAAGGUGUAGUUUAUAUUUAAGAAAAAAUGGGUUACAAUAAAAUUAUUUAUACGAAUAUAAAUGUGAAAUAUUUAUUGAAGGUGGAUUUGAUAGUAAAAUUAUAAAGAUUAAUAAAUUGAUUUUAGCUCUAAAAUAUGUACAUAUCGCCCGUCACUUUUGCUUUUAAGGUAAGAUAAGUCGUAACAUAGUAGAUGUACUGGAAAGUGUAUCUAGAAUGCA
rnacentral:ncRNA from 1 species